UGUAUAUUGCAUGAGGUUUUAUCAGGGAAAAAAAUAAAACUGAGAUCCAAUUUCACGAAAAUGCUGUUGCCAUAAUGCUCAGGAGAACAGGGGGAAGAGAGAGAUUCAAGGCUUCCUAAUGUCUACCUUACAUGCAGUCCUGUCUUCCCAGCCCUCAAUGAUCAAGAAACCAAUGGACAUACAGAACUCCUUCAGUAGAAAAUAAUUACUCCCUCUCGUUAAGCAGUAGAUGACUGCGUUCUACAUAAGCCACUUGCCUCCCAGCAGCACAGGCUCCAGACGUGCAGGCUCAGCGGCCAUGGCUCACGGGCACAGCCGCUCCGCGGCAUGUGGGAUCUUCCCAGACCGGGGCACGAACCCGUGUCCCCUGCAUCGGCAGGCAGACCCCCAACCACUGCGCCACCAGGGAAGCCCUCUACUUCUUUUUGAGAAAGUCACUCUGGACAGCUUACUACUCCCAGAGAGGACUCAUCAGUUGUGACACCUGUUUCUUGAAGCUGUCCUAGAAUCAACAAAGUGAGAGUGAGACCACACGUUACCCUUUGCUAAGCAUGAGCGCUGAAUCCCAGUCAAUGUCACCGGGCUCAGUCUCCUUCACCCUUGCUACUCACUUCCUGUUGUGGAAACCACAUCAUAUGGGUAAUGGGCAAUUGAGCUCAGUACCACUUGGAAUUCAUUUGGAAUUUACGGCUUCCCCCAACUCCUGUUUUCUGGAUUCAGGCUCAAUUUAUGGCUUGGAACACAGUGUUUCCUACAGGAAAAACUUUGAAAUGUGCAGAAGUAAAAAGGGCUCUUGGAGAAUAUUAAAUAUCUCUUACAAAACACCAUGCUGAUGAGUAAAUGAGAGUGUAAAUGAAUCCAGAUAAAAAGUAUUGUGUUUCCAUUGAAAUACUCAGGGGCUUAAGAGUUAAGGGGGAAAGUUUUGUAGGGAAAUGUGUUUUAGGUUAUGCUAAAUGUAAAACGUGUGCAAAAGCGCUUGAGAUGUUUUUCCUAGAUUAAGAUGCCGUCACAUUACUCCUUCUCAGUAAUUAGUAAAUGGGACAAGUAAAAUUUAUGUGUAAAUUCAACGCAGUUCAUGAGCAUGAAUAAUGAUCUCAAACUCCAAGCUGCAAUUAAGCACAGAAUAUUUGCAGAAUUGCCUUGGAGUAAAUUCCAGACUCUAAAGAAGUUGUGAAUUAGGCCAUGAAGAAAGAGACGAAGGCACUGACUUGUGGAUUUCAAUUUUAUUUUUAAGGUGGCUUUCAAAUUGUUUUGAAUUUAGUCAUUUCAGGAAUGUUCAUGGGAGAAUAAAACUGAAUAAGCUACCGAAAGUGGGGACACACGGCACAUUUUUAUCCUCUAUAAGCCCAGAAGGGGACAAAAGCAAUUGGACUUCGGCACAGUGCAAGGAAGCAUCAGAUGGUGGGGGGGGUGACUCUUGCAAACCUACGAUCCACUGUGCCACCUCCUUGCACCCUCUUUUUACGAAAGACCCACGUUAGUACGUGCUUUCACUAACCGAAAGAAAUCGGAAGAGGAUGUUUCACUUCUACGAAAAAAGGCAAAAAGCAAAAAUAGCAUCAGGGUUUGUUCUGUAUCUAGUCACUAUAGAGGCAGCAGACGCUCUGAGCAGUGAGAGCGGCCCUGUCAGGCUCCUCCCCCCGGGAACUACACUCAGCAUCUCAGCAUCAAGCCACCAUCACCUUGACAAGUGUCUGUAAGCAUCCAUGCUUUAUCUCAAUUUAUUUUGUGCAGCCCUUAGCAAGAUGUGUCCUAAAGUAAUUGCUUCUUCCCUUUAUCAUUUCGGCUUACGGAAGGUUUCACAGGAACACUCUACUUUCGGAUACCGGGGGGGAACCUGAAUAGCACACUCUCUGAUGUCUUGUUUCCUCUUUUAUGUUAUUAACGUGAGCACUUCUGCCCAGUGUAUGUAAGGCAUCAUGGGUAGUUAUCACUUUCUCUUAAAGUAAGGUCCACUGAAAUCUCUGUAGCAGACGCUGUGAUAUCCACUACAGAGAUCCGGCAUUGAGCAAUACAUCGUCUGUCCCCCAGAAGAUGAUGAUAUCAGAGAACGGAGAUGACACCUGAUAAACCAGUCCAGCUUUGAGGAUACCGAACUAGAGAGACAAAGCUACACGAGGGUCUGGAAGAGGGUAUGAAGAAACAUUGAUCUCUUCCUCUUCUUUAAUGAAGCAUCUAUAAGAAAUUUACAUUUCUAUUUUCCUCAUUUUCCGAAUUCCUCAUUUCUCUGCCGCUGAAAUAACAUCUGUCAACCAUUCACUGCCAUAUUCUCUCUGAAGGCCUUUUGCCUCUACGCUUCCCGGGGUCCCAAUCAAAGUUUCUUGGCGAUAAUGUAAAUUUCCUGUGUUAUCCUUCCGUGAAUCCCCAUCUCUUG